rnacentral:rRNA from 1 species
UACGUAGGGUCCGAGCGUUGUCCGGAAUUAUUGGGCGUAAAGGGCUCGUAGGCGGUCUGUUGCGUCGGGAGUGAAAACUUACAGCUUAACUGUGAGCGUGCUUUCGAUACGGGCAGACUUGAGGCAUUCAGGGGAGAACGGAAUUCCUGGUGUAGCGGUGAAAUGCGCAGAUAUCAGGAAGAACACCCGUGGCUAAGGCGGUUCUCUAGUACGGUACUGACGCUGAGACGCGAAAGCGUGGGGAGCGAACAGG